rnacentral:rRNA from 1 species
GAUGAACGCUAGCUACAGGCUUAACACAUGCAAGUCGAGGGGCAGCAUGAAGUUUGCUUGCAAACUUUGAUGGCGACCGGCGGAUGGGUGAGUAACGCGUAUCCAACCUGCCCCCUUCCGGGCACAGCCCUUGGAAACGAGGAUUAACUCCCGAUGGUGUCAGACUAGCGCAUGCUUAUCUGACCAAAUGUUUAAGGAAGGGGAUGGGGAUGCGUCCCAUUAGCUUGUUGGCGGGGUAACGGCCCACCAAGGCUCCGAUGGGUAGGGGUUCUGAGAGGAAGGUCCCCCCACACUGGAACUGAGACACGGUCCAGACUCCUACGGGAGGCAGCAGUGAGGAAUAUUGGGUCAAUGGACGAAAGUCUGAACCAGCCAAGUCGCGUGAAGGAUGAAGGUUCUAUGGAUUGUAAACUUCUUUUGUCUGAGGGUAAAAAAGCGGACGUGUCCGUUCUUGCAAGUAUCAGACGAAUAAGCAUCGGCUAAACUCCGUG